rnacentral:rRNA from 1 species
CCUACGGGCGGCAGCAGUGAGGAAUAUUGGUCAAUGGACGAGAGUCUGAACCAGCCAAGUAGCGUGAAGGAUGACUGCCCUAUGGGUUGUAAACUUCUUUUAUAAAGGAAUAAAACGAGGCACGUGUGCCUUUUUGCAUGUACUUUAUGAAUAAGGAUCGGCUAACUCCGUACCAGCAGCCGCGGUAAUACGGAGGAUCCGAGCGUUAUCCGGAUUUAUUGGGUUUAAAGGGAGCGUAGAUGGGUUGUUAAGUCAGUUGUGAAAGUUUGCGGCUCAACCGUAAAAUUGCAAUUGAUACUGGCAGUCGUGAGUACAGUUGAGGUAAGCGGAAUUCGUGGUGUAGCGGUGAAAUGCUUAGAUAUCACGAAGAACCCCGAUUGCGAAGGCAGCUUACUAAACUGUGACUGACAUUGAUGCUCGAAAGUGUGGGUAUCAAACAGGAUUAGAUACCCCUGUAGUC